GCUUAACACAUGGCAAGUCGACGGAAAGGCCCUGCUUUUGUGGGUGCGUCGAGUGGUCGAACGGGUGAGUAACGACGUGAGUAACCUGACCCCUUGGACUUUUGGGAGUAACUUCAGGAAACUAGGGGCGUAAUACCGGACUAGGAGCUCCUGCUGCGAUGGUGGGGGUUGGAAAGGUUUCGGCGGUUGGGGAUGGACUCGCGGCUUAUCAGCUUGUUGGUGGGGUAGUGGCUUACCAAGGCUUUGACGGGUAGCCGGCCUGAGAGGGUGACCGGCCACAUUGGGACUGAGAUACGGCCCAGACUCCUACGGGAGGCAGCAGUGGGGAAUAUUGUCACAAUGGGCGGAAGCCUGAUGCAGCAACGCCGCGUGCGGGAUGACGGCCUUCGGGUUGUAAACCGCUUUCGCCUGUGACGAAGCGUGAGUGACGGUAAUGGGUAAAGAAGCACCGGCUAACUACGUG
rnacentral:rRNA from 1 species